UCUGUUUCAUCCUUUUUGUUGUUGGCAGGUUUGGGCACCAAUGCAUCGUAAAGUGGGAUAUGCAGUUAAAUAAUACAUACUACUAAAUAAUAAAUGCACACGCAAGGUCUAAAAGUCCUUGCACUGUCAAGCAUGAACCAAGUGAUCAAAAUGAGAUAUCCGCAUCCAGGAAUUUGUAAUGUACAGAUCUGAAGCUAAACAACAUCCCUCGAUUAUCAUGCCCUGGCCGAGGAUGCACCUAGGAAAAAAGGUUACAUACAAGACAGCUGGACAAACGAAGAAGACACAG
rnacentral:lncRNA from 11 species